rnacentral:rRNA from 1 species
GAUGAACGCUGGCGGCGUGCUUAACACAUGCAAGUCGAACGGAAAGACCACGAGCUUGCCCGUCUGACGUUAGACGCGGGCGUGAGAGAAACGCGCGUAUCACCUACUUAUAGGUCUGUGAUCACUACGGUAAACCGGAGCUAAUACGGUAUAAUAUAUUGAACCGCAUAGUUCCAUGGCUAAAGACGGUUUUGCUGUCGCUUAUAGAUGGAUCGGCGCCUCAUUAGAUAGUUGGUAAGGUAACGGCUUACCAAGGCAACGAUGCGUAGCCGACCUGAGAGGGGGACCGGCCACACUGGAACUGAGACACGGUCCAGACUCCUACGGGAGGCAGCAGUGGGGAAUUUUGGACAACGGGCGAAAGCCUGACGCAGCAACGCCGCGUGCAUGAUGAAGGCCUUCGGGUCGUAAAAUGCUUUUGUAAGGGAAGAACAGAUGUCUACUAAAACAGGCGGGUCUUGACGGUACCGUAUCAAAAAGCACCGGCUAACUACGUG